GUUGUUCAAGAGAUGGCGCUAUGAUUAAUAUAAAAAAUAAUUAAUAUCCAUAAUUAGUUAUAACCAUAAACGCAUUCUUAUCACAUUACGGUCAGAAAUCUGCACGUUUCUUUUAAUAAUAGUGAUUCAAUGUAGUUAACUAGUUAUAUGGUAUCUCUCAGAAAACAAACAGUUAAAUUAGUGAUACUCCUUGAAAUUGUACAAAAACUCAUUUACUUAACAAUGAGAGGGAACAUAUUUAUCAAAUUGAUUGGAUUAUUUUUUAUAAUUGCCAUGAUGUCUUCGUUUCAAGAAACCGAAGCGGCAAUGAAAUCACGCUUUUGUAAAAUGGAUUGUGAAUUACUUUGCAAGACACGGGGUUGGAGUUACGGAGUUUGCAGUCGAGGGAAGUGUUUCUGUGCGCGGGGAGUGGGGACAUAAAAUAAAUAUGUUUAUAUUAAAAUAAAGUUAUUUAUAAAAUGUGUU